rnacentral:rRNA from 1 species
AUUGAACGCUGGCGGCAGGCUUAACACAUGCAAGUCGAGCGGGGUGAUGGUGCUUGCACUAUCACUUAGCGGCGGACGGGUGAGUAAUGCUUAGGAAUCUGCCUAUUAGUGGGGGACAACAUCUCGAAAGGGAUGCUAAUACCGCAUACGUCCUACGGGAGAAAGCAGGGGAUCACUUGUGACCUUGCGCUAAUAGAUGAGCCUGAGUCGGAUUAGCUAGUUGGUGGGGUAAAGGCCUACCAAGGCGACGAUCUGUAGCGGGUCUGAGAGGAUGAUCCGCCACACUGGGACUGAGACACGGCCCAGACUCCUACGGGAGGCAGCAGUGGGGUAUAUUGGACAAUGGGGGGAACCCUGAUCCAGCCAUGCCGCGUGUGUGAAGAAGGCCUUAUGGUUGUAAAGCACUUUAAGCGAGGAGGAGGCUCUUUUGGUUAAUACCCAAGAUGAGUGGACGUUACUCGCAGAAUAAGCACCGGCUAACUCUGUGCCAGCAGCCGCAGUAA